UGAAUAUUAACAGAAGGAGCCGGAUGCCACUGAUCAAAGGCCUGGUCCAAAGAGUUUAGCAUUUUAUAUUCUCACUCAUGACCAAAACUGAUAUGAAUUCUCUUUCAAAUGGGUGAAUUUCACAGUAAAAGGCAUAAAUAUGAAAUCAGAUAAUUGUAAUACAUAAGUGACAUAAGCAAUAUGCAAAAGGACAUGUUCAUUUUUUUUAAAGUUCUACAUUUCAAUCUACUACUGAAUCAUCCCAUUGAGGAUCCAUGAUGCCUGUAAAAAAGUCCAAACACUUUAAAUAGCUCCUUGUUGAAUAAUGAUAUUCCUCUUGUAAAUCAUUGACCCUCAGUGGAAGCGUUGCUGUGUUUCUGCUGCUCCUCCCACCACUCAACAGCAGAGGGAGGACAUGUGUUUGGCUGCAGCUCCCAACCUUAAAUUAACCUGCUCAGAGUCCAGAGAGGAGCUGCAGCACAACACGAGUCAUGGAAAUGAUCAUCAAAUACUCAUCCUGCUGAAAACAAUCGUUCCUCCCGUGUCUCUGUGAGAUGGGAUGUACUGAGUCCAGAUUCUGGCCUUGGUCCUGCUCACACAAACAGAAGGACGACGUCAUCGACAAACCGAGAAGAGAAGAAACCAAAUCUUUUCUGGAGGACGUGAAGGAGACUGACGGUGCCGUCCGUCCAGAGGAGACGGAGGCUGACGCUCGCUCUCUGACUCUUCUCCCAGUCAGUGAACCCGUACUGGAGUUGGCUCAGAAGAUGUCACAGGAUAUCGUGGCUCAGGCUCUGCAGCUCUUCUGGGAGGUGGAGAUUCAAUACAACAACCUGCCUUUCAUCGACAAUGACUGUGAUUAUGUUGUAUGAGCUGGAGAAGAGAAGUUUGUGACUGAACCAGGAC